rnacentral:rRNA from 1 species
CGGCGCCACUAGUGGGGAUCAGGGUUAUUGGGCCUAAAGCGUCCGUAGCUGGUCUAGUAAAUCAUCUGUGAAAUCGUUGGGCUUAACCUAACGGCAUGCGGAUGAGACUGCUAGACUUGAGACCGGGAGGAGUUAGAGGUAUUCCUUAGGUAGCGGUAAAAUGCAAUAAUCUAAGGAAGACCACCUGUGGCGAAGGCGUCUAACCAGAACGGGUCUGACAGUGAGGGACGAAAGCCAGGGGAGCGAACCGGAUUAGAGACCCGCGUAGUCC